rnacentral:lncRNA from 1 species
AUGUCGCUAAGUAUCCAGUCGGUCUAGAAUCCCAAGUUCAAAAACUGAUAAGUUUGUCAGAGUCAGCUGGUAGUGAUGUUUUGAUGAUAGGUCUAUGGGGACCUGGCGGCNNNNNNNNNNNNNNNNNNNNNNNNNNNNNNNNNNNNNNNNNNNNNNNNNNNNNNNNNNNNNNNNNNNNNNNNNNNNNNNNNNNNNNNNNNNNNNNNNNNNNNNNNNNNNNNNNNNNNNNNNNNNNNNNNNNNNNNNNNNNNNNNNNNNNNNNNNNNNNNNNNNNNNNNNNNNNNNNNNNNNNNNNNNNNNNNNNNNNNNNNNNNNNNNNNNNNNNNNNNNNNNNNNNNNNNNNNNNNNNNNNNNNNNNNNNNNNNNNNNNNNNNNNNNNNNNNNNNNNNNNNNNNNNNNNNNNNNNNNNNNNNNNNNNNNNNNNNNNNNNNNNNNNNNNNNNNNNNNNNNNNNNNNNNNNNNNNNNNNNNNNNNNNNNNNNNNNNNNNNNNNNNNNNNNNNNNNNNNNNNNNNNNNNNNNNNNNNNNNNNNNNNNNNNNNNNNNNNNNNNNNNNNNNNNNNNNNNNNNNNNNNNNNNNNNNNNNNNNNNNNNNNNNNNNNNNNNNNNNNNNNNNNNNNNNNNNNNNNNNNNNNNNNNNNNNNNNNNNNNNNNNNNNNNNNNNNNNNNNNNNNNNNNNNNNNNNNNNNNNNNNNNNNNNNNNNNNNNNNNNNNNNNNNNNNNNNNNNNNNNNNNNNNNNNNNNNNNNNNNNNNNNNNNNNNNNNNNNNNNNNNNNNNNNNNNNNNNNNNNNNNNNNNNNNNNNNNNNNNNNNNNNNNNNNNNNNNNNNNNNNNNNNNNNNNNNNNNNNNNNNNNNNNNNNNNNNNNNNNNNNNNNNNNNNNNNNNNNNNNNNNNNNNNNNNNNNNNNNNNNNNNNNNNNNNNNNNNNNNNNNNNNNNNNNNNNNNNNNNNNNNNNNNNNNNNNNNNNNNNNNNNNNNNNNNNNNNNNNNNNNNNNNNAGGAAUUAGUUGAUACAGAAAGACUAUGUUGCAAGAAGGUUCUCCUAGUUCUCGAUGAUGUUGAUGACAUGGAUCAACUGAAUGCCUUAGCUGGAAAAGGCGACUGGUUUGGCAAAGGGAGUAGAAUCAUUGUUACAUCAAGAGAUAGACAUUUAUUAACUUCUCAUGACAAAAAUUAUGUGUAUGAAGUUAAAACUUUUGAAGACAAUGAAGCACGAGACCUUUUUGGUAAGCAUGCCUUUACAAACAGCAAUAAAGUAGAAAUAAGAAGGGAUCUCAUUGAUGGAGCACUGCAUUAUGCCGGCGGCCUUCCAUUAGCCUUGGAAGUGUUGGGCUCAUUCCUACGUGGAAGAAAGGAACCUGAAUGGAAAAGUACGUUGCAUAAACUCUCUAAAAUUCCUGAAUCAAAAAUCAAUCGAGUUCUCAAGAUAAGUUUCGAUGGAUUGGACGAGAAUGAGAGGGAAAUUUUCCUUGAUAUUGCUUGUUUCUUUAAGGGGAAAAGUAUAAAGGACAUCAAGGAAGUUCUUGACAGCUGUGAUUUCGACACAAUCAUAGGAAUAAAAAUUCUCAUCGAAAGAUCCUUAAUAAAAAAUGAGGACGAGACCUUGCAAAUGCAUGAUUUGAUUCAGUCGAUGGGUCAAGAUAUUGUUAAUCAAGCAUGUCGUGAUGAUCCUGGGAAACGCAGCAGAUUAUGGCUUUUGGAAGAUGUUGAGGACGUUUUUUGUUAUAAUACGGUAAAAGUUGUUUAUGUUAGUUUUGCUACAUUUCGGUUUACAUUACUCUAAUUUGAACGGUCUAACAUAAAUCUUUAUUGAAAAUUUUGUCUGACAACCGAAUUUGCUCCAUUAUGGAUAGGGGACGGAUGCAGUAAAGGCCAUACUAUUGGACUUGCCCCCACCAGCAGCCAAAGUAGUGGACUUGCCCCCACCAGAAGCAAUAAUCAUUAGACCUGAUGCUUUCAUAAAUAUGAAAAAGUUGAGAAUACUCAUUUUUCUUGGAGUGCAUAUCUCUUCACAAGCUCAAGUACGUCUCCCUAGCGAGCUAAGAUGGCUUGAAUGGCCCAGUGCUCCGAAUCUAGAAUUUGUCUCUAGUCGAAAUAAACUUGUGAGACUCGAUGUCCCGAAAAGUCAUAUCAGACAAUUAGGGGGCAACUUUCAUGUAAGCCAUUGUGAUGAUUAGCUUUUCGUUUUUAUAGCUAUAAUUUUUUUUUUUUUUUGCAGAGCUUAAUGACUUCACUAGUAUGUUUUUGCAGAAAUUUGGAAAGCUGAAGUCCAUCAAUUUCAGUGAAUGCAAGUCCUUGGUUAGUAUUUGCGACCUGUCACCGGCUCCAAAUAUGGAGAAAUUGAUUCUUAAUGGGUGUGAGAGCUUGGUGGAGGUUCACCCAUCCGUUGGAAAUCUUGUCAAGCUAGAAGUUUUAUCGCUAGAGUUGUGCUCUAAUCUUAGUAAUUUUCCCAACACACUGAGGACUAAAUCUCUUCAAACCCUUAAUCUCUCUGGUUGUUCUAAAUUCGAGAAGUUCCCAGAUAUUGACGGAAAGAUGGAACAUCUAAAAAGACUUUAUCUUCGUAGGACGGCUAUUAAAGAACUCCCUGCAUCAAUUGAAAAUCUUGUCUCUGUGGAGUGGAUAAAUUUAGCAUUUUGCAAAAACCUCGUAAGGCUUCCAUGGCACAUUUAUAAGUUGAAAAAACUAGAGUUUUUGAAUCUUCCUGACUACUCUAAUUUAAUCACGUUUCCAAAAAACAUGAAGGAUUCAACUGAUCCCAAUGCUCGUGGGGAAUUCCAAAAUCUAAGGUUCCUAGAACUUAGCCGCUGCAAUCUAUCAGAAGUAGACUUCCUUGAGAGUUUUUCCAGUUUUCCCACAUUGAAGUUCCUGUACCUUUUAGAUAACAAGUUUACUCAUCUGCCGACAUGCAUCAACAAGUACCAUAGUUUGUACGAAUUGUCUGUUGAUAGAUGCGAGCUACUAGAAGAGAUUCCUCAGCUUCCACCAAAUGCCGACCUAUCAGCCAGAUGUUGCAAAUCUCUGCAAAAAUUCCCAGAUCUGGGGGGUCGCCCCGACCUCUCUCUUUCCGUUAACUUGACUUCAUGUUGUGAAUUAUCCCGCAGAGGGGUCACUAUGGCUGAUGUGGCUGAUUUGUCGUUACUAGAGGUCUCUCUCUAUAUAUGUGUAUAUAUAUAUGUCAACUGCAAAUGCUUGAUAUGCGUACUAUCUGUGUGACAGGAUCUGCCAAAGGUGGAUCUUCUCAACAUUUGCCUACCUGGAAGAGAGAUGCCUAAAUGGAUUCUCCCCUGUGAAGGGAAGUCCAUAUCUUUCAUGAUUCCUCAGGAGCUGUACGAUAAGUUCAAAGGAGUAGCUCUCUGUGUUGUUCUUGGCCCGGAGGAAGGAAAAGUGGUCGAUGCUUCAUGUUCAGUUGGAACAUUAACAUAUGUUAAUGGCCGGUCAGCGGGUCAAUUGGCACAAAAUUUUUAUUCAAUGGAAUCUGACCAUGUGUGGUUUCAUUAUCAUCCAGACCUUUUUCUAAAUCUGCGAAAUGAUUGGAGUCAUUACCAAGUUUGCCUCUGGGCAGAAAAAGCAAGCAUAAAGAAGUAUGGAUUCUGUCCAAUAUGCGAGCAAAAGGAGGAUGUUCUGAGGAUGGUGAUCCCAGCACCAUCAGCCGAUGGAAACAAAUUGAAGUUUUCAAGGAGUGAUUCAGAAGAAGAUAGUUCAAUAGACACCAUGGAAGCAGAUGAUCUAUUUGAAAUGUAUGCAGGGGAAAGCUCAUCACGUUUAACAAAGAAGAGAAGAAGGUCUUAACUACGGUGAGACUAUAAGUUCCAAUGUCUUUUCUUUUUCCUUUUCUGGGCCUCCACUAGAGAUUUGCAAGUGCCUGCUCCUUCAAUUAGAAUUCAAGAUCAUUAUAAAACAGGGGUUUCGCACCAUGCUACUAACAUGAUUGAGGAAUUUUUUUUUUUUUUAUGUGUUGUUUCUCUAUAAUUUGUGAUGCAGAGUGCAUUAAACCAAAAAUUAAGAGGAUGCUUGUUAAAAUGGCCAUGGUCUUCCAAGUUGCUCCAUGUAAUUUAUCACACGGGCCUCUGUUGCCUCUCUUAAUCCAAUUAAUGAUGCCAAUAUUUUGUACUUUAAAAUUCUAAGAUAGUAAGUUUUGCUCAAUCUAGUAUAAUAUGUAUCUUCAGGAAAAUAUCGUUUGAAUUGUCUCAAAGAUUAAGAGGUCUACACAGGAAAAAUUAGUUGAUUCCUCUGUUGUUGGUCAGCAGAUUGCAUUGGAUAGGUAUAAAGGGAUAGCGCUGGCUUCUAAGAAACUUUGCAUUUUGGCAAAGGAGGUUGACUUCAAGGAUUUUCAUGAAAAGCAAAUAGUAUGUGGCAAACACCUAAAAUAAGUAUUGCAAAGCAAUUUUUAGAAUGAGAAAAAAGAUUAAAAAGGGAGAAUGAAGGAACUUGUAGGUACAUGUGAAAGCACAAGCGAGUGGCACAACAGUAGGACCAAUGCCGACGUCGUGCGACCCUAGGCAAUAUGCUGCUGAGGUCAACCACCAAACCUAGGGGACGCGACACCAAUGUUGCUUGACCCUAGGCGACACAACACUGAACGCAAGUGUCCCAUGACCUCAAUUGGCAGAAUGUUGGAGCCACACAACUAGGCAACGCAACGCUUCACCCUCGACAAGCUAAAUCUGACAUCAAGUGUCCCAUGACCUCAAUUUCAGCUCAUAAAUUACAAGCUCGUGUCUUUAUCAAGCUUGUUGUUCCAACAUGCAACGAUCUAGAUUUUAAAAACAUGACAUCAAUACGGUUUGAUUGCUACUUCAGUUAAAAUCACGAUGGAUGAUGAGCACGAUUCGGUUCUCCAAUCAAAGCUAAAACCCAUCUCCAAAAAAGGAAAGAAAAGCCCAGAAAGAACACAUCGGAUGCAAUCACCCCCAUCAAUCGAGGGUCCAAAAGGGGAGGUCACAGGGACUAAUACCCAGCCAAACUGAUCAUGUACGCGAAGCAAAUGUGGAAAAAUAAAAAUUCAACACAAAUCAAGAGCAUUGAAGAUCUCAAAUGAAGCACAAAGUAGAACUCACAAGCCAAGUUGUGUUUGGAAAGCAAGGGUGACCCGAGUGUUAGGGUUUCUAGUUAGGGCUUUUUUUUUCUUUUCUUUUUUCCUUCUGAUUUACUCGACAUUAAGUGAGGUGACCGGCAUGAGUGGCGAGUGGCAAGUGUCGAGCGUUGAGUGGGGCGAGCGUCAAUUGGCGGGCAACAAGCGUUGAGCAAGGCAAGCGAUGCGAGUGGCACGCACGAUCAGAGGUGAGCAGCAUGGGCAACCAGAGGCGAGCGGGAUAUUGCUACUUUUGAUUUUGGCAAAUUGAAGAACAAGGAAGAUAGUAUGGAAGAGAACGUACUUUGGGGAAGGAAGCCGUGAGGAGAUUUACAGCGUAAACUUCGCGCCAUUUUGGAUGUCGCGAGUUCGUGACUGUGAGGACUCCUUGGUCCUCACAAUGAAGAUUGAAGAACAUACUCUGGACUAUAGAGGACGUCGUGAAGACCUUUACGACGUAAACUUCACGCCUUUUGGAAUCGGAUGCCGUCUGUUUGUGACUGUGAGCCUGAGGAGUGAACAUCUUCAACAUCAUUUUACUUAGGUUCGAAUAUAUAAAAGAAUUAUAAAUAAUAUAAUAUAACAGACAUUUUACUUAGAUUUGAAUAUAUAAAAGAAUUAUAAAUAAUAUAAUAUAAUAUAUAUGGUAGGUCAAGGGUUGGACCGACCAAAAACUCUUAGGACCGGAGACUAACUCGCACAGUGUUGGUCCUGGAAUUUCAGGACCAAAGACCGACCCAGUCCCCUUGGGAACCGGACCAGGACUGACAGGGUUGGGCCGAACCAGGGUCGGUCCAGGGUCGACCCUAGACCGCUGCUCACCUCUACUGCUUCGCUCCUUCUCUCUCUCUCUCUCUCUCUCUCUCUCUCUCUCUCUCUCUCUCUCUCUCUCUCUCAUGUGCAAAUAAAUUUAUACUCCACAAAGGACAGGAAAGAACUACCAACGCUAGUGACCCUCUUUUGGAUGUCACCCCAUAAAGAGUAUUGUUGACAUCUGAAUUUUGUCCAUUGUUCAAGUGUCCAUUUUGGGCAAAAACAUAAAAGUGCAAAUAAUAAUAAUUAGAAUUAGUUCCGCCCAAAAUCUAAUCCCCUCAGCCCAUCUUUUAGUUCCCUUUGAGCCCAUUUCUUUUGUUCCUUAUGUUGUCCUCAAUAGCCCAUCUGAACUUAAAACAAGAAGGCCCAGCCCAUAUCCCAGGCUCCUUCUCUUUUGCCUGCUCCCCGUCCGUGAGCGACGAAGACGCGAGCAGUGACCGAGCAAGAGAGGCGUCCGUGAGUCGGUCCGUGAGAGAACAGCGAGAGAGGGAAAAUAACAUAAAAGAUUCCUUCUCGGAGAGAGAGAGGGGAGGAGGACGCUCGACGACAUGGAGAGGGCGUGCUCGACCAUAUAGGUGAGCAGGGGAGCUAGCUCGAAUGGGAGAGAAAGGGAGAGUGCAUCCCGUUUCGGAGUAGCAGAAAACCGCAUCGCCGGAGUUCGCCGACGGUUUUCAGAGCUCCGGUUAACGGCCAAUCCGCGAGUUGUUCUUCACAGGGUCGGUGUCGAAGGUCAGACGAGUACUGAGAUUUAUUCCGCGAGCGGGGGAAAAGCUCUAACCAGACGCCCUUCAUCGUCGUCAAUCGAGACCUCGACUCGCCAAACAAACCAGGUACAGUCUCGGUCCAAACGCUCUACUUCGUCUCUGUUUUGGCCGAGAAAGACAUGCUCGGUUCGAUCGAUUUUCUUGAAGAGAUCUUGAUAAAACGAAGUUUCUUUGUUGAUAACCAUGGUGUUUUAAGUCUGUUCGUAACGUGUGAGGCUCAGGAUCUCGUUAAAAUUAAGACAGAAAACCAUUGAAAAAUCUGCGUAUUACAUGUUUGAAAAAAUGCCUAAAAGAGGCCGAAUGUCAAGUCCCGUCUAAAUUCAAGAUCGAUUCGUACUUGCUGUGUUUUUUGUUGAAUCAUAUCUAAUGAUGGCAUUUUCUCUGUGUUUCUAUGUGAUAUCUUUGCUUGAGUCCAACGUACAUGCGUAUCUCCAAGGCCGCAAAGCUUUUCGUCAGAGUAUCCCCUUGCACCAGCGAAGUCAGCGUUUCCGGGACAUACUAGUUAGCCCAUCUCACUUCAUUCUAAUGUAUUUUUGCUUGUUAAUUUGUUGGGAUGCUGCGGUGAAAAGUGUGGAUUAGGUAGGAUGGUUUUUGUUAAGUUUUGUGAUAGAUGGAGCGGGCGGCCAGAGGUGGUCAACGUCGGUCGGAAUAAAUGAUCGGCGGCUGGAGAUAGAUCGGCGGUAAUCUAAGUUCUGGUGAUAAACUCGUCAACGAUGGUAUUUGUUCCGUUAAAAAGAAAAAAUGGCGCGAAAGGUGGGGUUGCAGGUUGAAGAUGGCGUUCGGGUAAAGGAUGUCCGGAGGAAGAAGAGGAAGUGCAGGCAGAAAAAGACAAAAAGACAAAAAACAAUUAGAAAAAAACAUUAAAAAUCCAGUUUUAAUCCGACGCGGGUCGGAUGCGGGUAUAAGGGUCGGGUCAAUGGGUCGGAUCGGGUAAACAGUCCGAACCCAUUCCCCGAAUAUAUUAAUAAUAAUAAUUAUUAAAAAUUUUAAAAAUCAAAAAAUUCAUUAAAAAUUUAAAAAAUUAGGAAAAAUUUUAGAAAAAUUCAGAAAAUGAUAAAAAAAACUUAGGAAAUAAUAAAAAUUUAGAAAAUUCGAAAAUCAAUAAAAUAUCAGGAUUUUUAGAUAAUCAUUAAAGAUUUUUAAAAUCUGAAAAAUAUUAAAAAAAAAAAUCGAUAAAAACAUUUAAAAUUUUGAAAAAUGAGAAAAUUCAUAAAAAAAUUUAGAAGAUUCAGAAAAUCAUCAAAAAAUUUAAAAAUUCAGAACAUAUUAAAAAAUAGAAAAUUAUAAAAAAAUUCAAAAAAAUUAGAAGCUCUUAGAAAUUGAACCCAUAUUUGGACAAGUCUUUAGAGUUUUACAAUAGGGUUCUUUAGUGGUUUGGAAUUUUUUUUUAUAUUUUUUAAGGAACAAUAUUAGGAAGCUUGAAUGUUUUCUUUUUAUUAUACUCAGUUGUACUUUUUAAUAUAUUGGAUGUUAUUUCUUUUGUUUUAGAAUGGUCAGGACAAAACUUAAAUUUUUUCGAUAGGUUGCUAUGGCAUUAGUUAACAUAACCAAGUUAGGUAUUGAAAGGGCGUUAGUCUUAGGGCUAACGUAAUUAAAUCCACGAGUCUAUAAUCUUUGAUUGUAUAAAAAAUAAGAAAUUCUCCUUUAUCUUAUUGAUUUCUAACUGCCCCCAAAAAAGCUAGUGGCCACUUUUUUGUUAAAAUUUACAUAGGCUAAAUUGAUUGAAAUUUUCAACAUUUAAAGUCACGCAUGGUAUGAAUUUGAGAGAGCUAGAGUCAAGGAAUGGUCAUUGGCCUUAAGUUGAUAAUAUUCCUAAACCUAACAAUGAGUUAGGUCACGACAAGUAUAUACUAGUUUUUCAUUCAAAAAUAUAUAGUUUAAUUCACAUCUUAUGCAAUGAGAGCAAGAGCAACGUCAUUGAUAGAAAAUGAUUAAUAAAACCUAAAGCAAUGUACCAAUUUCUAUUUAUAUGUUGGAUCAUAGCCUUCCUUAUUGUUGUGAUUUAUUUUGAGUUAACAACGUUUGAGAACAAAAUCCAAAAGGAUGACUCUACAAAAUUGCCACGCGAAAACCACAAAGCGCGAAGCAAUGUUGGGCAAAUUCACGAGAAAAUCUUGGGCCGACCCGAUUUGAAACAAGCUCGGGUCAAAAUGGGCCUCUUAAGACUGAAACGAUGGGCCGUUUCUCUUGCUAGCUUAAUUGGAACAUGAAUGUGGUUUGGAUUCGCUUUAUAUUUCAUGAAAAUUUUCUUUCCUACUUUUUAAUAUAUUUUUUUAUGAUGAUUUAGUUUUUCUAAGUUCUAAACUGGCCAAAGAAAUUAAUCAUGUGCUAUUGUAGUUUAUCAGUGCGGUUAAUUCACAUGAGUUUACUUUCAAAAAAGCUAAAAGUAACUCUAUUUGAGUAUUUGGUAAAUUCUCGAAUGCAGAAUUUGGUGUCAUCUAACCCCGAAGUAAAUUUUAACGCAUCCCGAUCAUGAAAAUGCUUUGACAAAGAGUUCGUUCAUAUUAGUAGUCUUAACUAGUAUCUUUAGGGCACUUCUACACUUUUAAACAAAUUUUUUUAUGUUAAUUGUAAUAAACUCUUCAAAAAAAUUCUUUUUAAAAAGUCAAGGGAUUUUAUGUUCGCUCUAUAAAAAAUUAGUUCGCUCUUAAAUUAUAAUGUGGUGGUUACUUACAAGUGGAACCCAUGUUAGGAUAUCACUCGGCAAAUCGACAGUCAUCAAGUUCAGAUUUUGGAUGAAUAAUGGCAGACGGAAAGAAAAGAAAAAAAAAUCAGAUUUUUUUUUUCCCAUAACAGUUUAGGAACCAUCUGAAGGAAGUGACACCCAGUCACAGCUGGAAAACCUAUCUGAAAUUAAUUGCUUGGAAAUAACUUGGCCAAAAAUAUCCCAUCAAUUAAUUAAUCUCUAUCCACUUCUCAUUUGAUGGAAGAAAAAUGUCAAAAGUAGAGUAAUCUUGAUUUCGAAUCUUACGCUAGUGACAGACACGUUGAUGACUUAAAGCAUCCUCAGUCACGUCAGGUUUGGACCAAGGCCUUUUUCUAGACGAUGGCUUCUUGACAAUAUUUAUCAUUCCAUAAAAUAUCAUCAAGGGGUCAAAAAAUUCGAAGAAACGAGGAAAAAAGACUGACGAGAAAGGAAUUGCGUAUAUUUUCAUUUUUGAUAUUUGCAAUAUCUUUACUUUUUAGUAUGUAUCCUCUAAGAAUCAAGCCAUUUGAUGGUCAUAGUAAAGACUCCGUCGUCCUGCUCUUAAUAGAGCAUGUCCCAUAUUAUUGUUUGUCUAGACUAAUCUAUCUUCCGUCAAUUGAGAAUUUAAAGGAAUAGCAAUAAUUUCCAUAGUUCGUCAAAUAGUUCCCUUGAAGUGCUUCCAAAAGGUCUCAUAUAUUCUAUCAUUCGCCUAUUGCGUAUCAAGUUCCAACAUAGCUAGCAACUUCUUUGCCCGACUUAACAUUGUGUUUAGCUUAUGGGGAUUCAUGUCUCCAGACUUAAUAACGAGGCCAUGUUUAUUUUUUGCCUGACUUGUAUCGAGCUUUUCAUCUCCCAUACUUUUUCUUGGAUGCUUUCGAUACUUGGUUGUUUACUUUAAAAAGCCAUUUUCAAUGGCCUAUAUGUUAAUUUCCUUUCUAGAAGCUUGAGACUAGAACAAUUUUUUAGGUGUCAACUUAAACUUUGGUGUCAAUAUUAAUGUAGAUAAUUUUGUAAUUUUUAAUUCUAUUUUUAUUCUCUUCACAGGGCUAACAAGACUGUCGAGCCCCCACGCUAGCCAUGGGGGAGGGUUUGUUGUUUCACAAAAAUAAUAUUUACAAUAUACCAAAAUUGAGAUUAGGUGAAACUUAAACAUGAAUGUGCCAUAUGAUAUCAAACUUCAAUCUGUUAGUACUCAGCUCAAUAAUUUUACAAGUCCAAUUGAGUUAUUCUUUUUGUAAAUUAUUUAUAUGAAUUUUGAGCCCAGUCCAAAUUGAAUUCAAGCGCAACUUCUGAAUACUUCAAUUUUCUUUUUCAAUUGAGUUCAAGCAAGAAAUUCAAUUCCCGAUCAAGCUAAGCUCGAGCGAAGUUUCAACCGGUCAAACAUGUGAGUCGAUGCGCGUGGACUGAGAGACACCAGCCGAGCAGGUUAUCACGUGGGCCGGUGGCACCUUUCGUCUUCGAGUCCUUGGCCGAUUCUUCAUCGUUCCAGAUUCGUUGGUCGAUUGCCACGUGUUCUGGUGGAUCCGACGCUUCAGAAUCUUCGGUUCUUUCUGCUUCCCUGGCUCUCUCUUUCCCCACUUUCUUCUUUCUCCUCCUUCAUACUUCUUCAAAACAAGAGUCAACUCAGAGCCGCCUGGCAGCCACAAUCCAAGAUCUCUGUCUUCUCGCCCUCGACACCGUCAGGGCCGUUCCAUCCAUUGUCGUUACGGGUCAGCUUCAUUUACUUUUGCACAUCUAUGGUUUUCCGCCGAUCCCGACGUGGAUCUCGCCCUCCAAACCCUCGCCGCCGCGCGUUCCUUCGUCGUCCAGCAGCAUAUUUAUCUGAAAUCGAAAGCUGAAAACGUUUUCACCAGCCAAAUGGCCCUGAGAGCGCUUGUUUCUUUGAAGCGAGCGAGCGAGAGCCAGAGCCAGGGCAUAGGGAAGAGAUCCUCGACUUUGCUGCUGAUCGGGGAUGGGCAACCCCGGGUCAGAGGCCGCCAAGCAUCUCCGAGAGCAAAGCCCACUCUGCUUCUGCUUUAAGCCCUCGAUUUUCAUAGCAAGACUCUCUCUCUCUCUGUUCCGAAGCUUGGCAUUCUAGAGAAGCACAUGUACCAUCAGCUCUUCUGAUGGCUGCUUCUUCGAAUAUGAAAAGGAAUUACCAUGUGUUCCUCAGUUUCAGAGGGACAGAUGUCCGCCAAGGGUUCCUCAGUCAUCUCUACGCGGCUCUGGGCCAGAAAGGAAUAUACACUUUUGUGGAUAGCGAGGAACUUAGGAAGGGAGAGGAAAUAUCGCCGACGCUCAUGAAGGCGAUCGAGGAAUCGCGCAUCGCGAUCAUCGUUUUCUCUGAGGAUUAUGCCUCCUCGCCGUGGUGUUUGGAAGAGGCUGUGAAAAUCAUGGAGUGCAAGGAGCGAAUGGGCCUGAUUGUGUUCCCAGUGUUUUACAAAGUGGAACCAAGAGAAGUAAGAGGAGGGAGAGAGAGUUAUGGGAGAGCUAUGGCUAAGCAUGAGUCCAAGUUCGGUAAGGAUUCAGAGAAAGUGAAGAGAUGGAAGAAGGCUCUCUUUGAAGCCAGUAGCUUGUCUGGGUGGGAGCUGAAUGACAGGUACGCGCAAAUGUGACGUGGUGUUUUGUGAUUGUUAGCUUGUGAUUGUUUGUUAGAUAUCAAAUCGUAUGCUCUUUUUUGGAUCUUCGAAUUGAAGAUACAAAGUGGAGAUAAAUUAGACAGUAGACACAUAAUCAAAUAACCGAAGCUCGUAGAUUCUUUGAAUUGAUUCUUGCUGUGUGGAUAAUGAGAAAUUUAUGUAACAUAAAUAGUGUGAUUCAUAGUGCCCGAGUCAAUAUUGUCUUCAGAUUCAGGUUCUUUGUAAUUUUCCUUGCGUAGAUGUUGGCGCAGGUACACCCACCUUUCAUCUUAUAUUUUGCUAAUCUUAUUAUGGAAUUUUACUUAUUCGAAAUGCUAAAACCUGUUUAUCUUUCUUGAAUGCUUAUCAGAAAUGAAGCGGAGCUCAUACAAUGCAUAGUAAAGGAAUUAUCAAUUCAUCUCAACCGAACGCCUUUACAUGUCGCUAAGUAUCCAGUCGGAAUAGAUUCCCAAGUUGAAAAACUUAUAUCAUUGUCAAAUAAAGAGUCCGAUGAUGAUGAUGAUGUUCUCAUGAUAGGUCUAUGGGGACCUGGAGGCAUAGGGAAGACAACAAUUGCCAAGGCCCUGUUUAAUGCUAUUGAGAGACAAUUUCAUGGUUGUAGUUUUUUGGCGCGAGUUAGAGAAACUUCGAACUCAAGUGGUGGUCUAGUUGCUUUGCAAAAAAAACUUAUGUCUGACAUCUUAUCUCAACGAGAUUUAAUGGUUGAUAGUGUCGAUGGAGGAAUUAAUUUGAUACAGGAAAGACUAUGUUGUAGGAAAGUUCUCCUGGUUCUUGACGACGUUGACCAGUUGAAUCAAUUGAAUGCGUUAGCUGGAGAAGGCAAGUGGUUUGGUAAAGGAAGUAGAAUCAUUGUUACAUCAAGAGAUAAACAUUUGCUAACUUCUCAUAGUAGACAUUUUGUAUAUGAAGUUCGGACUUUAGAAUUCAAUGAAGCACUAGACCUUUUUUAUCGGCAUGCUUUCCCAAAUAGCAAGAGAGUUGAAAUAAGAUGGGAUCUCAUAUAUAGAGCAGUGCAAUAUGCUAACCGCCUUCCAUUAGCCCUUGAAGUGUUAGGCUCAUUCUUACGUGGGAGAGAGGAAUCUGCAUGGGAAAGUACAUUACAUAAACUCUCCAAAAUUCCUGAACAAAUUAUUAAUCAAGUUCUCAAGAUAAGCUUUGAUGGAUUGGAGCACAACGAGAGGGAGAUUUUCCUGGAUAUUGCUUGUUUCUUUAAGGGGAAGAGCAUGAUGUAUAUUAAGGAAGUUCUCAAUAGCUGUGAUUUCAGCACAACCAUAGGAAUAGAAAUUCUCAUAGAGAGGUCCUUGAUAAAAAAUGAGUAUGGGUUCCUACAAAUGCAUGAUUUGAUUCAGUUGAUGGGUAAGGAUAUUGUUAACCAGGAAUGUCGUGAUGAUCCCAGAAAGCACAGUAGACUAUGGCUUUUUGAAGAUGUUUUGGACAUUCUAAGUAGUGAUAAGGUAAAGGUUGUGUAUGUCAAUUAUGCUACAUAUUAGUUCUUACAUUAAUCUCGUUUGAACAGUAUAAUGUAAAUCUAAAUGGAAAUUUUGUGUGGCAACUGAAUUUGCUUUGUUAUGGACAGGAAAUGAAUGCAGUAAAGGCCAUAGUAUUGGAAUUGCCUACAUCAGAAGAGAUAACUAUUAGUCCUAAUGCUUUCACAAACAUGAAAAUGUUGAGAGUGCUCAUUUUGCUUGGAGUGCAUAUCUCUUCACAAGGUCCUAUAAGUCUCCCUGAGGAGCUAAGAUGGCUUGAAUGGGCCAAUGCCCCGGAUCUAGAAUAUGGCUUGAAACUUGUUAGACUUGAUGUCAAGAAAAGUCAUAUCAAACAAUUAGGAAGCAACUUUCAGGUAAGCCCUUGUGAUGACUAGUUUUCACUUUUUAUAGUUAUAAAUAUUGGCAAAGCUCAAUGACUGCACUAAAAUCUUUUUGCAGAAUUUUAGAAAGUUGAAGUCCAUCAGUUUCAAGGAAUGCAUGUCCCUAACCGGUGUUCCUGACUUAUCAUCAGCUCCAAAUCUAGAGAGCUUGGAACUUGAUAGGUGCAAAAGCUUGGUGGAGGUACACCAAUCCAUCGGAUAUCUUGACAAGUUAAAAUAUUUGUCACUACGAUGGUGCUUUAAUCUUAGUAUAUUUCUUGGUACACUCAAGACAAAAUCACUUCAAGACCUUCGUCUCUCUGGUUGUUCUAAACUUGAGAAGUUCCCCUAUAUUUUGGGAAGGAUGGAACAUUUAGAAAAUCUUGAGUUACAAGGGACAGCUAUUAAAGAACUCCCUGUAUCAAUUGAAAAUCUGAUCUCUGUGAAGUGGGUAGAAUUAGGACAUUGCAAAAACCUCAUGAGGCUUCCAUCGAGCAUUUAUAAGUUGAAAAAACUCGAACGUCUGAGUCUUGAAGAGUGCUCGAAUUUUGUCAUGUUUCCAAAGAAUUUGGAGGAUUCAACUGAUCCUAAUGGCAAUUUGGGAUUCUCAAAUCUAGAGUGUCUAGAACUUGAUGGCUGCAAUUUAUUAAAAGUAGAGUUUCUUGACAGUUCUUCCAGUUUUCCCAAGUUGGCCUACCUAAGUCUAUCACCGACAAGCAUCAACAAGUAUAAUUAUCGGAAAGGCUGGUAUGUUGAUAAACGCAAGCAAUUACAAGAAUCAAAUAGGUGCAUCAUGGAAGUGAACAGUUGUAAUUUUCUACAGAAACUCCCAGAUUUGUUGAGUCUGCCCUCCGAUUGCCUUCAAGUUGACUUGAUUUCAUGUUGUGAAUGCAAAGGGGGCAAUAUGGCCGAUGUGUCCUCACUCGAGGUCAGACUCUCUCUCUCUCUCUCUCUCUCUCUCUCUCUCUCUCGCUAACUUUGAAUGCUUGAUAUGCGUACUGUGUGACCGAUGUGUCCUCACUCGAGGUCAGACUCUCUCUCUCUCUCUCUCUCUCUCUCUCUCUCUCUCUCGCUAACUUUGAAUGCUUGAUAUGCGUACUGUGUGACAGAGACUCCCAAAGAUGAUAAAAGUCGACAUUCUCCUCAGUGGAAGAGAGAUGCCAAAAUGGAUUCUCCAAUGUAAAGAUGGAUUCAUAUCUUUCAUGGUUCCUCGGGACUUGUACGACAAGUUCUUUGGAUUAGCAUUCUGUGUUGUUCUUGGCCUGGAGAAAGGAAAAGUGGUCAAUGAUAAAUGUCAGUUCCAAAUAUCUGUGAAUGGCAGAAGGGUGUUUGGGGAUUUAAGAAGCUUAUAUCAAUUAGAAUCCGAUCAUGUGUGGCUUUAUUAUCUCCCACGCAGUAAUCUUGGAUUAGAGAAGCUUAUGCAAAAUGAUUGGAGCCAUUUCCAAGUUUGCUUUGAAGCAUCGAAACUAAGCAUGAAGAAGUGCGGAUUCCGUCUAAUAUGCGAGCAAAAGGAGGAUGAUCUGAGGGUCCGUGCUCCAACACCAUCAGCUGAUAGAAAAAAAUUGGAGUUUCAAGGAAAGAGACUCAAAGGAAGACAAUUUUCAAUAGACACCGAGGAAGAAGAUAGUCCAGUGAAACAGAACUCAAUAAAGAAGAUGAGAUGGUUUUAACCAUGGCGAGAGUAUGGCUUGCAAAACAUGCCAGCUGAAUUGGUCACGAUUUGUUGAGGAAGUGAUUCUAGGUGAUUUUGAUUCCAAUGCCUCUUGCUUUACCCUUUUUUCGUCUCUACUGGAAAUUUGAAAAUGUCUGCUCCUUAGAUUAGAAUUCAAAAUCAAUUUGAAGUAGAGGUUUCGCAUCAUGCCUACCCAGAUGGUUGAGGAACUUCUUUUUUCGCUCUUUCUUUAUGAUCUGUGAUGCUGAGUACACUACUUCAAAAUUCAUCGGAUGCUUGUUGAAUGGCCAGUGUCUUCCAAGUUGCUUUGUGUAAUUUAUCAUGCGGACCUCUGUCACCUCUUAUAAUCUAAUUAAUGAUGCUAGCUAGCACUUUAUACUCUAAAAUUCUGAGAUAGCAAGUUUCGGUCAAUCUAAUAUAAUCUAUAUCUUUGGGAAAGCAUUGAUCUUAAUUGUCUCACAGAUCAGGAGGUCUAUACAAGGAAGAUUAGAAGGCUCCUCUGUUGUCUUUAUUCAGAUUGUAUUGAAUAGGUACAAAGGGAGAGCUUUAGCUUCAAGAUUUUGCAAUUAAGCAAAGGAAAUUGACUCAAAGGAAUAAAUCUUAAAGUGAAUAGUGUUUAACCCCUUGUGAAAAUACUUACUGCUAACGUUUCUUUAAUAAGAAAAAACAAAGAGAACAGAGGAACUUGCAGUUGCAUAUGAAAAGUCAGGCCGGGGCUACAACACUAGAACUGAUACCGACAUCAUGCGAUCCCAAUGCGCCCUGCGGUCGUGAGACCCCAUGCGGUGCGCCGUCGUUGUCACGAUGCGCAACUCCAUGGCCACACAAUAGGGAAGACAAUGCUUGAUCCUUGACAAGCUAGAUUUGACGUCAAGUGACCAACCCUUGGUCAAGCUUGCCGAUGUCGGAAAGCUGCACUGGUGUCUCCCGACCUUCUCGAAAAAGCAUCCCAGCCAUGAGGUACCAUGGUUUUCUCUUUGUCCCUAUCCAAGAUCGAGGGGGUAAAAUGAGAACAUCAAUAUAUUCGCAAGGGCAAGAUUAAAAAAAAAAAAACAUGAACAAGCAUGCCAAAGAUGUUAACCCCCAAGCUCUCGCUCGCCCUGAGCUUUGACCAUUUUCAAUGCAAAAUUUUUGCACCCAAAUAUUCGAAGACGUGUUCCAAAAUGCCAAAACUCUGGCUCAAGGGCUUUUGGAAAUUCAAAGCUGCUCGUCUCCCAUAUGUAGCUUGAGCGUCCUGGCUCGGUAAGGGCAGAAGUGUAAUUUCAUGAGUGCCAACUCAGUCGGCUCAUAAUUUGGGCCUCUUGACUCGGCCCCUUCCCCCGACAGAUAACACCUAAAAUUUUCUUCUGAAACCGAUCUUCGUGUCCGACGUCUUCCCGACUUUCUGAACCUUUUAGCCCUGAGAGCAAAAAUAGAAAUCUCGUUUUCUAGUUAUUUACUCUCUUUCUAAAUUUUGAAUUUUAACUUAUUCCACUUUAAAAUUUAAUAUGAACUUACAAUACUUUCUGAAUUGGUACUUUUUUAAGGCGAUCAAUAUUCACCGCUACAACCAUUUAAUAAUAGGAUUAAUCAAUCUUUUUUUUCAAUUUUUUUUUGUCAAGCUUGCACCCUUUUUAUAUAUAUAAUUUAAGAAUUAGGAGGUAAGAACAUAGUGAUUCAUGGUUCAACAAUUUACAUUAACCUCAAGAAAAAAAAUUAAACGUAGUUAUAAUUACUCUAAAUAUUAUUCUAUCAAAGAAAGAGCCAAUAAAUAAUCUCCAUACUAUAUAAGGAGUUGGCCGAUAUUGAUAAACAGUUAGGAGGACUAAAUAUUCAUUACCCUUAUUAAAAGGUUUACUUGUUUUCUUCUCUCAGAAUCAUACAAGUGUGAAAUAUUAUGUUUCCUUCAUUUAUACAAUAAAGAAUCCCUUAUACUGUGCACGCAAUUCAGGCUUUAUAUUUUAAUUUUUUUUAUUGUAUAAUUGAUGUACACAAAAUAUAAACACGUCUUUGUCUUUCUUCCUAUUUGGUAAAAAAAAAUCUUUACAAAAUAGCAUUUAUUAAUGUAAACACUUAAUUCGUGUGCUUUUUACACUAUAACUAUACUAAUACAACCACAAAAUAGAAUUUAUUGUAAAUUAUUAAUGUCUCUUAAAAAAAAAUAUAUCAAAUUGUUUACUCCAAGUAAUUUUACAAUGUUUUAUACCAAACAACGUAACUUUGCUAUCAAAAUACCUUCUCAUCUAUAGGGUUUACGAGGGUCUUCUAUAUAUGUAGUCUUUCUUUGUCUAAUAGCUUAAAUUUCUAGGUUGGACUAUUCAAUGUGAUAUCAAAGCCAAAUUCAAACCCAGUUUUUUUUUUGUAUAUGUGGCUCUCCAUCCAUCAAUUUCACCUAUCAUUUUAAGAUCGGUUUUGCACGCUAAAAGAGAUAUUAUAAUAUUAUACAUUGCUUGUUUACAUAAUUUACAUAAUUUAUACUUACCUUAUUAUCUCUUCACGAAUAGUGGCCAACAAAAAAAAAAUCAUAAUUAAGUGACUCCUACAAGGGCACGAUUACGUGUGAAAAAAGUUACUUUAACCUACUAUGAACUGAGAUGACAAAAACCAAUCAAAACAAAUGAUGUUGAUUAAGCUUUUUUAAGUCUAAAGUCCAAGUAUGCAAGGACUGACCUGGUUCAUUUUUUUUUAACAUAGUGAUCAAGAUAAUAUUUUUUACUUACUUAUAGUAGAUAGAAAUAAAAUCUAAUUUUAAUUCCCCCAAAAAGUUGACUGAGAUAGUGAGAGAUUGAUUCAUACGACAAAUCCUAUAUCUAAUUACAUACUCACCAUUUAGAAUAACUCUAAGGAUGCACACCCAUGAUCGACCCAUUGGCAGAUCAUGGGCAUGCAUCUCCCAAGCUUAUGGGGGUUCAUGUCCCAAGGUUAAAUAACAAGACAUUAUAUAUUCUUUCCCCAACUAAACAUCGUGUUUAGCUUAUGGGGAUUCAUGUCCCGAGACUUAAUAAUGACACAAUGUUUAUUUUUUGCCCGACUUGUAUCGAGUUUUUCAUCUCCCAUACUUUUUCUUGGAUGCUUUCGAUACUUGGUUGUUUACUUUAAAAAGCCAUUUCAAUAGCCUAUAUGUUAAUUUCCUUUCUAGAAUCCUAAGACUAGAACAAUUUUUUAGGUGUCAACUAAAACUCAGAUAUCAAUACUAAUGUAGACAAUUUUUAAAUUUUAAAUUUUAUUUUUAUUUUCUUCACAUGGCCAACAAGACCGUUAACCCCCUCACUAGGCAUGGGGGAGGGUUUGUUGUUUCACAAAAAUAAUAUUUACAAUAUACAAAAAUCGAGAUUAGGUGAAACUUAAAUAUGAAUGUGCCAUAUGAUAUUGAACUUCAACUUAUUAGUACUGGGCUCAAUAGUUUUACAAAUCCAAUUGAGUUAUUCUUGUUGUAAAUUAUUUAUAUGAAAUUUCAAGCCCAGUCCCCUUAUAUUUCAACAUAAUAAAAUUAAAUCCAAGCGCAACUUUUGAAUACAUCAAUUUUCUUUUUCAAUUGAGUUCAAGUAAGAAAUUCAAUUCUCGAUCAAGCUAAGCUCGAGUGAAGUUUCAAGCAAUCAAAAUACGUGAGUCGAGCUUGACAGUGCAUUAGCUCAUCUCAACGUGGCUAUCCUUUAUUUCGAGGACUAGACCUAGGACGCUAGCGCUUAGACUUGAUACCUCAGAGGUAGGUUGCGCAUCCUUGCGCGUGGAUUCAGACACACCAACCGAGCACGUUAUCACGUGGGCCAGUGGUACCUUUUGUCUUCGAGUCCUUGGCCGAUUCUUCAUCGUUCCAGAUUCGUUGGUCGAUUGCCACGUGUUCUGGUGGAUCCUACGCUUCAGAAACUUCCGUUCUUUCUGCUUCCCUGGCUUUCUCUCUCUUCUCACUUUCUUCUUCCUCCUCCUCCGUACUUCUUCAAAACAAGAGUCAACUCAGAACCGCCUGGCAGCCACAAUCCAAGAUCUCUCUUCUCGCCCGACACCGUAAGGCCGUUCGAUCCAUCGUCGUUGCGGGUCAGCUUCAUUUACCUUUGCACAUCUAUGGCUUUCCGCCGAUCCUGACGUCCAUCUCGUCCUCCACAUCCUCGCCGCCGCGCGUUCCUUCCUCGUCAAGCAGCAUAUUUAUCUGAAAUCGAAAGCUGAAAACGAUUUCACGAGCCAAAUUACCCUGAGCCCGGUCCAAUAUUUUCCUGAGAAUGGAACAGGCUGAGAGCGCUUGUUUUUUUAAAGCGAGAAAGAGCCAGAGCCAGAGCAAAGGGAAGAGAUCGUCGACUUCGCUGCCGAUCGGGGAAGGGCAACGCCGGGUCAGAGGCCGCCCAGCGUCUCCGAGAGCAAAGCCGACUCUGCUUCAGCCUUCAGCCCUUGAUUUUCGUAGCAAGACUCUCUGUUCCGGUGCUCGGCAUUCUAGGGAAGCACAUGUACCAUCAGCUAAUCUAAUGGCUGCUUCUUCGAAUAUGAAAAGGAAUUACCAUGUGUUCCUCAGUUUCAGAGGAACAGAUGUCCGCCAAGGCUUCCUCAGUCAUCUCUACGCGGCUCUGGACCAGCAAGGAAUAUACACUUUUGUGGAUAGCGAGAAGCUUAGGAAAGGAGAGGAAAUAUCGCCGACGCUCAUGAGGGCGAUCGAGGAAUCGCGCAUCGCGAUCAUCGUUUUCUCAGAGGGCUACGCCUCCUCGCCGUGGUGUUUGGAAGAGGCUGUGAAAAUCAUGGAGUGCAAGGAGCGAAAUGGCCUGAUUGUGUUCCCUGUGUUUUACAAAGUGGAACCAAGAGAAGUAAGAGGAGGGAGAGAGAGUUAUGGGAGAGCUAUGGCUAAGCAUGAGUCCAAAUUCGGUAAGGAUUCGAAGAAAGUGAAGAGAUGGAAAAAGGGUCUCUUUGAAGCCGGUAACUUGUCUGGGUGGGAGUUGAAUGACAGGUACACACAAAUGUGACAUGGUGUUUCGUGAUUGUUAGCUUGUGAUUGUUUGUUAGAUAUCAAAUUGUAUGCUCUUUUUUGGAUCUUCGAAUUGAAGAUACAAAGUGGAGAUAAAUUAGACAGUAGACACAUAAUCAAAUAACCAAAGCUCGUAGAUUCUUUGAAUUGAUUCUUGCUUUGUGGAUAAUGAGAAAUUUAUCAAACAUAAAUAGUGAUUCAUAGUGCCUUAGUCAUUAUUGUCUUCAGAUUCAGGUUCUUUGUAAUUUUCCUUGCGUAGAUGAUGGCGCAGGUUCACCCACCUUUCGUCUUAUUAUUUGCUAAUCUUCUUAUGAAAUUUUCCUUAUCACGUUAGAGGUUGAAUUCCUGCUAUGGCUUUGAAAUGCUAAAACGGGUUUUUCUUUCUUGGAGUGCUUAUCAGAGAUGAAGCGGAUCUCAUACUAUGCAUUGUAAAGGAAUUAUUGAUUCGUCUCAACCGAAAAUCUUUACAUGUCGCUAAGUAUCCGGUUGGAAUAGAUUUCCGAGUUCAAGGACUGUCAUGCUUGUCACAGAAAGAGUCGGCUGAUGAUGAUGUUCUGAUGAUAGGUCUAUGGGGACCUGGAGGCAUAGGGAAGACAACAAUUGCCAAGGCCCUAUAUAAUGCAAUGAUGAGACAAUUUCAGGUUUGUUGUUUUUUGGAGCAAGUUAGAGAAAAAUCAAACCGAAGCGAUGGUCUUGUUACUUUACAAAAGGAUCUUCUAUCUGAGAUCCUGGUUCAUCCUUUAACGGUCUACAGUGUCGCUGGAGGAAUUAGUUUGAUACAAGAAAGACUAUAUUGCAAGAAUGUUCUCCUGGUUCUUGAUGAUGUUGACCAUAUGAGUCAACUGAAUGCAUUAGCUGGAAAAAGCAAUUGGUUUGGAAAAGGAAGUAGAAUCAUUGUUACAUCAAGAGAUAAACAAUUGCUGACUUCUCAUGGCAUAAAUUGUGUGUAUGAAAUUCAAACUUUAGGAUGCCAUGAAGCACAAUAUCUUUUUAGUCUGUAUGCUUUCCCAAAUAGCAAGAGUGUUGAAAUAAGAAGGGAUCUCAUAGAUAAAGCACUGCAUUAUGCCGACAGACUUCCAUUAGCCCUGGAAGUGUUGGGCUCAUUCUUACGUGGAAGAAAGGAACCUGCAUGGGAAAGUACAUUGCAUAAACUCUCCAAAAUUCCUGAACCAACUAUCAAUCGAGUUCUCAAGAUAAGCUUCGAUGGAUUGGAGAACAACGAGAGGGAGAUUUUCCUCGAUAUUGCUUGUUUCUUUAAGGGGAAAAAUAUAGAGUACAUCAAGGAAGUUCUUGACAGCUGUGAUUUUCACACAGCCAUAGGAAUAUAUAUUCUCAUGGAAAGGUCCUUGAUAAAAAACCAGGAUGAGACCUUGGAAAUGCAUGAUUUGAUUCAGUCAAUGGGUCGGGAUAUUGUUAAUGAAGCAUGCCGUGAUGAUCCUGGGAAACGCAGCAGAUUAUGGCUUUUGGAAGAUGUUGAGGACAUUUUUUGUUAUAAUACGGUAAAAGUUGUUUAUGUCAGUUUUGCUACAUUUCAGUUUACAUUACUCUAAUUCAGACGGUAUAAUGUAAAUCUUAACUUGAAAUUUUGUCUAACAACUGAAUUUGCCCUGUUAUGGAUAGGGGACGGAUGCAGUAAAGGCUAUAGUAUUGGAAAGGUCCCCACCAGAAGCAAUAAUCAUCAGUCCUGAUGCUUUCACAAAUAUGAAAAGGUUGAGAAUACUCAUUUUGCAUGGAGGGCGUAUCUCUUCACAGGCUCAAGUACGUCUCCCUAACGAGCUAAGAUGGCUUGAAUGGUCCAAUGCCCCGAAUCUAGAAUUUGGCUCUGGUCCAAAUAAACUCGUGAGUCUCGAUGUCCGGAAAAGUCAUAUCAAACAAUUAAUGGGCAACUUUCAGGUAAGCACUUGCGAUGAUUAGCUUUUCCUUUUUUAUAGCUAUAAACAUAUUUGCAGAGCUUAAUGACUACACUAGUAUGUUUUUGCAGAAUUUUAGGAAGCUGAAGUCCAUCGAUCUCUAUGAAUGCAAGUCCUUGGUUAGUAUUCCUGAUCUGUCAUCGGCUCCAAAUAUGGAGAAAUUGAUUCUUAAUGGGUGUGAGAGCUUGGUGGAGGUCCACCCAUCCGUUGGAAAUCUCAAAUGGCCAUGGCAUAUGGACGUCUUUAUUGAAGUAACAAAUCAAAUAGCAAAAUAUAGCAUGGUCAUAGUGUAAAAUCUUUUAUAAAUCAGUAUGAUGAUAACACAUCAAACAGAUUAUCCACGAGCUGAUCAUUUUGGGAUUUAUUCAAUUUUUGUGUGUGUCUAUACAUAUACAUGUGUAUAUAUAUAUAUAUAUAUCUUCUAUGGUUAAAUGAUGAUAUAUCUCUAUAGUAUCACUCUAGUUAUACUAUAGAAAGUAUCACUAAAAUAUGUGUGCUUCACUCAUUCAGUUCUCUGUUUUUUCUUUAAUCUGUUCAUUGGGGGGUGAUGACUUGAGAUGAGAAUUUCUUUUUUCAAUUUUUCAUUUUUUGAUUCGUACUUUCUUAGUUGUCUUAAUAGUUAAACUCAUUAUUUACCUUUUUUUUUUGCCAACAUCAUUUUAUUUUUUAUCUUUUAAUUUAUAUAUGAUUUUUUAUUAUUAAAAAGUCAUGUAAGCAUACCAUGCAAAUAUUGUUAAUCCUGUCAACUACCACAGAGGAUGUCUAUUGUCAAAAUUGGAGGAAAUUGCAAAGGAAGGUAAAAUUGGGACAAUGGUACAGCUUUGACAGUUUUUACUUGUCCUAAGAUAAUUUGUGGUAAAUAUGUUUAAGUCAUAACAAUUUAAGAUUUUUUAUGAUUUAACUCUAAUAUAUAGAUGUAUUAUCUCUUUCCAUUUUCUCCUCUUGCGGAGUCUUGAGUUCCAUUUCAUUUGGCAAGUGAAAAUGCUAAGUAAUUUUCUUGGAGAACAUUGGUUAAGUCAAGUUCGUAUUAGGGAUUGCGUUUUACUUUAUUUGUUGCGCGCUAAAGUUCACACUCUCUCUCUUUCUGUCCCAUUAGCGACCCUUCGUUUAAGUCUGGAUAACCCCAGGUGGUCGUCUAUUCAGGGGAGGACGAGGAAAGUUCUGAAAGGAUCAUUUUCGAAUAUUGGCUCCGAUAGUUAUUUCCUGUUGGGGGGGCGGGGGGCGAAAGGAUCAUUAUAGUUCCGCGGUUUACGCAAAAGGAAGACGAAAGUCAAAAAGAAACGGACAAAUAGAUAUGGACCUUAGCAGAAUCUCUACUUUACCUUGUCUGUGAUCGUACGUGUGAGCUCCCGAAACAAAAAAGAGACCCCCCGGCACUGAGUGGAAUCUGAUACUUUCUUUGGCCUUUGUUCCAUUGCGUAACUCAUACUCCACGAAAAAAGUGAUAUAAAUAGAUGAGAUUGGAAACUCCAUCGGACGGUAGACAUUCUUGACGCAAAUCAUUCAUUAGCUCUUUCAAUGGCUUCUUCUUCUUUGAAUCCAAAAAAAUAUUAUCAUGUGUUCUUAAGUUUCAGAGGUCUGGAUGUUCGCAAGAGCUUCCUCAGUCAUCUCUACACAGCUUUGGACCAGAAUGGAUUAAACAUUUUUAUGGAUGAUGAGGAGCUUAGGAAAGGAGAGGAAAUAUGCCCAGCGCUCAUGAGGGCAAUUGAGGAUUCGCGCGUCGCAAUCAUCGUUUUCUCUGAGAACUACGCUUCCUCACGGUGGUGUUUGGAAGAGCUCUUGAAAAUCAUGGAGUGCAAGGAGCAAAACGGCCUGAUGGUGUUCCCAGUGUUUUACAAAGUGGAACCAAGAGAAGUGAGGGAGGGGAGAGAGAUUUAUAAGACAGCUAUGGAUAACCAUGAGUCCAAGUUCGGGAAGGAUUUAGAGAAAGUGAAGAGAUGGAAGAGGGCUCUCCUUGAUGCUGGUAACUUGUCGGGGUGGGGCUUCAGUGACAGGUACGCACAAAUGUGAUGCAGUGCUUUGCGAUUGUUAGCUCUGAUUGUUUGUUAGAUAUCAAAUCGUAUGUAUAGCUUUGAAUUGGCGAAACGAUGCAUCAAGUUCUUUGAAUUCACAGUAGACACAAAAGUCAAAAGACCAAAAUUUGAAGCUAGCAGAAAUUUUAGUCUUAGAUAAGUAGUGUGGUUCCUAGGACCCGAGUAAUGAGUGUCUUCAGGUGCAGAUUCUUUGUAAUUUUCCUUCCGCAGAUGUUGGCGCAGUUAUGUGUUAUUUCUUUUCAUCUUAUUAUUUGUUAAUCUCCUUAUGAAAUUUUCCUUAUGACGUUGGACGUUGAAUUUCUGCCAUGGCUUGAAAUGGUAAAACAUGUUUCUGUUUCUUUUGAGUGCUCAUCAGAAAUGUAACAAAUGAAGCGGAGCUCAUAGAAUUCAUCGUCAAGGAAUUAUCGAUUCGUCUCAGACCACGAUCCUUGUAUGUCGCUAAGUAUCCAGUUGAUAUAGAAUCCCGAGUUCAAAAACUGAUAAGUUUGUCAGCGUCAGCUGGUAGUGAUGUCAUGAUGAUAGGUCUAUGGGGACCUGGUGGCAUGGGGAAGACGACGAUUGCUAAGGCCCUAUAUAAUGCUAUAGAGAUGGAAUUUCAUGGUUGUAGUUUUUUGGCGCAAGUUAGAGAAAUAUCGAACCAAAGCAAUGGUUGUGUUGCUUUGCAAAAGCAACUUCUAUCUGAGAUCUUACCUCAUAAAGAUCAAACGGUCUACAAUGUCGACGGAGGAAUUAGUUUGAUACAAGAAAGACUAUGUCGCAAGAAGGUUCUCCUCAUUCUUGAUGAUGUUGACCAUAGAGAUCAACUGAACGCAUUAGCUGGAAAAGACAGUUGGUUUGCAAAAGGAAGUAGAAUCAUUGUUACAACAAGAAAUAAACAAUUGCUGACUUCUCAUGGCAUAAACUGUGUAUUUAAAAUUCAAGCUUUAGGAUACUGUGAAGCACGAGACCUUUUUCGUCUGCAUGCUUUCCUAGAUAGCGAGAGUGUUGAAAUGAGAAGGGAUCUCAUAAAUAGAGCAGUGAAUUAUUGUGACGGCCUUCCGUUAGCCCUCGAAGUGUUGGGCUCAUUCUUUUGCGGGAAAAAUGAAGAUGCAUGGGAAAGUGAACUGCAAAAACUCUCCAAAAUUCCUAACCUAGAUAUUAAUCAAGUUCUUGAGACAAGCUUUGAUGGAUUGGGGCCUAACGAGAGGGAGAUUUUCCUCGAUAUUGCUUGUUUCUUUAUGGGAAAGCAAAUAGACUACAUCAAGGCAGUUCUUGACAGUUGUGGUUUCUUCACAACUAUAGGAAUAGAAAUUCUCAUCGACAGGUCGUUGAUAAAAAAAGAGGAGGAUGGAACAGUGCAAAUGCAUGAUUUGAUUCAAUUGAUGGGUAAGAAUAUUGUUAUUCAGGAAUGGCCUGAUGAUCUUGGGAAACGUAGUAGAUUAUGGUUUUACGAAGAUGUUGAGAACGUUCUCUAUGAAGAUAAGGUAAAGGUUGUUCAUGUCCAUUUUGCUGCAUCUUAGUUUUUUACAUUAUUCUAAUUCAGAGAGUCACAUGUAAAUCUCAACAAAAAAUUUUCUCUGACGACUGAAUUUGCUAUGUUAUAUGCAUAGGGAGAGAAUGCAGUAAAGGCCAUAGUAUUGAACUUGCCCGCACCAGAAGAGAUGACCAUUAGUCCCGGUGCAUUUGCAAACAUGAAAAGGUUGAGAAUGCUCAUCUUGCCUGAGGUGCAUAUCUCUUCACAAGGUCCUGUACGCCUCCCUAAUCAGCUAGUUUGGCUUGAAUGGCCCAAUUCCCCGGACCUAGAAUUUGGUCCUGGUCCAAAGAAACUUGGGAGACUUCAUUUCCGGAACAGUCUUAUCAAACAAUUAGUAGGCAACUAUACGGUAAGCCCUUGUGAUGAUCAGCUUUCCGUUUUCAAAGCUGUGAAAACAAAUGACUGCACCAGUAUGUUUUUGCAGAAAUUUAUACGUUUGAAGUCCAUCGAGCUCUUGGAUUGCAAGUCCCUGGCUAGUGUUCCUGACCUUUCAUCGGCUCCACUUCUUGAGAGCUUAUAUCUUUUAAUGUGUGAGAGCUUGGUGGAGGUUCACCAAUCCGUCGGAGAUCUUGACAAGUUAAAACUUUUGACGAUAUCAAGGUGCUCCAAUCUUAGGAUGUUUCCAAAAACACUCAGGACGAAGUCUCUUCAAAUACUUAAUCUCUCUAAUUGCUAUAAACUCGAGAAAUGCCCUGAUAUUCUGGGAAAGAUGGAACAUCUAGAACGUUUUGAUUUAGGAGGGACAGCUAUUAAAGAAGUCCCCGCAUCAAUUGAAAAUCUUGUCUUUGUAAGGACAAUAGAUUUAGGAUAUUGCCAAAACCUCACAAGGCUUCCAUCGAGCAUUCAUAAGUUGAAAAAUCUUCGAUCUCUGAUUCUUUACAACUGCUCGAAUCUUGCCAUGUUUCCAAAGAACUUGGAGGAUUCAAUUGAUCCUGAUGGCAAUUUGGGAUUCCCAAGUCUAAGUUCCCUAGACCUUCAUGACUGUAAUCUAUCGGAGGCAGAGUUCCUUGAGAAUGCUUCCAGUUGUCCUAUAUUGACGCAUCUAAAUCUUUCAAAUAACAAAUUUACUCAUUUGCCGACAUGCAUCAACAAUUAUGAUUAUUGGAAAGACUUGUUUGUUUAUAGAUGCAAGCAAAGCAAAGGGGUCAGUGGAGCUGAUGGGUCAUCACCCGAGGUCUCUCUCUCUCUCUCUCUCUCUCUCUCUCUCUCUCUCUCUCUCUCUCUCUCUCUCUCUCUCUCUCACGUUUGGAAUGUUUGAUAUGUGUACUAUCUGUAUGACAGGUAGUUGAGAUUGUUGCAAGUGGAAAAGAGAUGCCUGAAUGGAUUCUCCAUUGUGAAGAGGACUCCAUAUCUUUUAUGGUUCCCCCAAACUGGUGGGACAAGGCCUUAGGACUAGCACUCUGCGUUACUUUUGAUCAGGAUAAAGAAGACCCGUUCGGAAAUGCAUUUCAGUUCAGUAUAUUUGAUGACGGCAUAAGAGCGUUUGGCCGUUCGAUAUUUGCUUGUCCGUCAACUUCUGAUCUUGUAAGUCUUGUAUAUAUCCCAAGCAACAGAAUGAGAGAAGAGAAGCUUCUGCAAAAUGAUUGGAUCCAUGUCCAAGUUUGCUUCAGAAGACUGAUAGGAAGAAUAAAGAAGCGUGGAUUCCGUCUAAUAUGUGAGCAACAGGAGGAUGAUCUGAGGGUCGGUUUUCCAACGCGGUCAGGCGAUGGAAACAAAUUGGAGUUUCAAGGAAAGAUACCCAAAGAAAGACAAUUCAGAGUCACUGAGGAAGAAGAUUGUCCAGUGGAAAAGAACUCAACAAAGAAGAUGAGACGGUCUUAACAAUGGCGAGAGUAUGGGUUCAACUCGCACCAAUUGUUGAGGUAGCGAUUCUUGGGGAUGCGAACUGGGUGAUCUUGAUUCCAAUGCCUCUUGCUUUUCCCUGCUUUUUUCUCGUCUCCACUAGAAAGUCGCAAAUGUCUGCCCCUUCAGUGUCAAUUAUAAAAUCAUGCCUCUUGCUUUUCCCCGUUUUGUCUCGUCUCUACUAAGAAAUUUGCAAACUGCUCCUUCAAUUAGAAUUCGCAUAAUGCUACUGACAUGGUUGAGGAACAUUUUAUGUCCACCUCGUUCUCUAUGAUCUGCGAUGCAAAGUGCACCAAUCCAAUAUUAAGUGGAAUGCUUGCUGAAUGGUCAUGGUCUUCCAAGUUCAAUGAAACAUAUCACAUCGAACUCCGUCACCUCUCUUAAUACAAAUAUAUUUUGUUUUUUUAAUUUAAUAAAAGUCAUUUACAAAUGUAAAUUUUACCAAACGGUAUUUUGGCAAAAGUUGUUUUUCAAUGCAAAUUUUACCAAACUUUAUUUGUAUUUCGGAAGACCCCCUUCAUCCAAAGGUAUUUGCAUUUCUACAAAUGCAUUCCUCAAAAACCGAACCAAACGGGCCCUAAGACUUUGCGUAUAAGCAAAGGGUAUUGACUUGAAAGAUUUUCAUGAAAAGCGAAUGGUGUUUGACAAAUGCCUUGUAAAAUAUUUAUUACAGAACAAAUUUUAGUAUAGAGAAGAAAAAUAAGGAAAAAAAUAGAGAAGGAAGGAACUUGCAGUUAUAUAUGAAAGCACAAGCGGGGGCGACACAACAGUUGGACCAGUGCCGAUAGUGUGCAACCCUAGGCAACGCGCCUCUAAAGUUGAGCAAACCUGGCAACGCAACACCGAGGUCGAGUGAAACUAAGCGACACAACACUAGUGUAACGCAACCCCAAGUGGUAGAAUGCCGGGGCCACACUACUAGGCAACGCGACGCUUGACCCUCAGCAAGCUAAAUCUGGCAUCAAGCGACCCUCGCAAAGCUCCUCGACGUUGCGUGACCCUCGGCAAAGCUUAACCAAUGUCAUUCAACACUCGGCAAAGCUGUACCAGCGUCCCUGGGGCCCUCUUCAAAGCUUCCCGGCCAUGAUCAACCACAUCUUUCUCUCUCCUAUCCAAGAUUGAGGGGUAAAAUAUGAUUGCAAAUAUAUUAGUGAUGGUGAGAUUGGAAGAAAAAAAACUUUAUUAAACCCCUAAACUUGCAUGUCAAAAAUGCUAAAGCCCAUACUCAGAGGUUUACCCUGAACUUUGUGCGUUUUCAAAGCAAAACUUUGGAUCAAAAUCUUUGAAAUUGGGUUAUCAAACAUCAAAUCCUUGGCUCAAGGCCCCUUGAAGGUCCAAAAUAGCUUAAUUCAAGAUGACUGAGCACUCAAAUUUUAGUAUAGUCAAAUUUAAAUUGCAAAUCCAUGUUUAUGCGAGGUAUGGUCUUGGGAGAGAUUUAUGAUUGAGGGUCCGUUUGCGGUGUUAUCGAGUUAAGGUCCAUUCGAGACUUUAGCUUGUAUGUACCAUUUGGUCGCAACACUUAUUUCAAAAACAUUGUUGGCGGUUUAAGAUAUCUGGCUUCUAUUAAGCAAUAUAUUACUUAUGCCUUUACCAAAAAAAAAAUAUAUUACUUAUGGUGUGGGAAUUAUUGGUAGGUUCAUGGGGAAGUCAUACCAAUCUCAUUUAUAGGCAACAAAAAGAAUUUUAUGGUAAGUGGAACUUGUAAUCAUGGAGUUUAUGUUCUUGUACUAACAAUUUCAAUCUAGUGGUGUAUACAAAUAAUGAUUGGGAUGGUGAUAUCGAAACUCAAAAAAGCACUUGUAAAUAUGCUUUCUUUCGUGGAUCACAAAUAAUCUCUUGGUCCUCUUAAAAACAGGUUGUUAUACUCUUGACUACUAAAGCAGAAUACAUAAUAUUAGUUGCAGUGGCAUGUCAAACAAUGACUUCGGAGAAUAUUGUGUGAAUUAAUGCAUGAACAAAAGGCCCACCAAGCAAACACAGUGCCAUCAAGUAUUACUAUAUUCAUGGGUGUGUCAAAAAUGGUGAAAUCGAGCUUAAUUUCUACAAAUUAGAAGAUCAAGUUGAAGAUAUUUUGACGAAACUAUUAAAAGUGGAUUCUUUCAAAAAAUUAUGGACCAUUUUUGGUGUUGGUGAUUUCCAAAUUCAAUUUUAAGACUAUCAGAAUGAUAUAAAAUUGAUUGUUAGAUCGUUGAAAAUUUGAACACGUCACUUGUUGGUUUCUAUAUAGACUGCUAGUGUUCUUCAAGAAGGUUGCAAGCAUUUUAUCAAGAAGAGCCAUUAAUGACUUCAGGAUGGCUGUUUAUCUAUAUAUGCAAACAAAAUAAGCGGUUUGUUUUUUUUUUUUUCAUUAAAUGGUGUGUGGACUGUUUUGUUUUCUUCAAUAAAUGUUAUUGACAUUUGUGCUUAAUUUGUGUGCAUUUGGCUUCUAUAUAAAGAUCUGAAGUUAAAAAAUUGUUAGUAUGAAAUCACAUAAAGAAAGCAUUCUAAAUAAGAAGUUCUCCUCAUCUUGUCUAUAUUAUUUAUUUGGUUCCAACAAAGUGUUGAUCAAAUUAUCUCAAAGAUGAAAAGGUCUAUACGGGAAGAUUAGUUGAUUUCUCUCGUUACAACUUAGACUUUGCAAGUGAGAAAAAGACAUUGACUCGAAAGGAUUUGCAUAAAAGAAAAUAGUGGUCGGUAAAUAAUGUGCAAUAAACUUAUUGCAAAGCAAUUUCUAAAAUAAGAAAAAAAAAAAGGGAAAAUGAAGAAAUUUGCAGUUGUAUAUGAAAGUUCAGGCAGGUGGCACAAUCAUAUCACCGGCAUUGACGUCGCGCGACCCUAGGGAACAUGCUGCCGAGGUCGGGCACACCCUGGUGGCGCAACAUUAGGGCCACGGACUAGGCGAUGCGACGCUCGACCAUUGGUGAGCUAGAUGGCAUUGAGCGACCCUCAACAAAGCUUGGCGAUGUCUCCCCAGUCAUCGGCAAAGCUACGCUGGGGUCCCUUGAUUUUUUCCGCGAAGCUUCCCAGCCACAAUCCACCACGGCUUUCUCUAUUUCCAUCCAGGAUUGAAGGGUAAUAUAGGAAUAGUAAUAUGUUAGUGACAGCAAGAUUGGAAGAAAAAAAAAACCAUGCCUCGAACUUGGAGCAUUUUCAAAGCAAAAUUUUGCACAAAGUAUUUAAAAUUAUACUAUAAAAAACAAAAUUUCGGGUCAAGGGCCUUCAGAGGCCCUCGUAAAUGCUCUCUCAAACACUGCAGCAUAUUGGCUUUAUAAGAGCAAUGCAAUUUUAUGAGUGCCAACUGAACCCAUAUACUUUGUCAAGAAGUCUUUACCAAAUAUAAUUUGCAUGUCCCUAAAAAGCUUUAAACUUUUAGUAUUUGUAUUUUUCCAAAGCUCAUUUCCAAAAUCGAACCAAAGGCAGCUUUAGUUGGCUCAGCAUUUGGACCUCUUGAGUCAGCCCCACCCCAACAAAUCACCACUGUCCAUCAUACCCUGCCUAUCGGCACGGAGUAACCGAGAUGCAUUUCAGUCUCAUUUUGUACUUUCGCUCCACACCCAUCGACUCAUCUCUCUCUUAAGGCCGCAUAGCAUCUCCCCGUUCUUGGGGCCACUACAUAUCAUCUUCAAAAAGAAAACUCAAGGGAUUUAUUUUCACUCUAAUUUGUUCUUAAGGCUCAAUUCCUUUCACAAAAAAUAAUUUAUAGAAAAACGUUUUUUGGAUUUUCCAAAGGGAAAAAAGUUCUCUAACGUUGGGAAAAAUAUUUUUCACUUUUGAGAAAGAGAAAAAUCUAUUCAAUUCCUUCUUUCACCUCACUUUCCUUUAUCAAAUAAUUUUUUCCUUUUAUUAUUUUUAUUUUUUUAAUUGUUUUUAUUCUUUCAUUUUUUUCCUUUUUUUUAAAAUUUUUUUCCACCUAGGCAGGGCUUGAGCCUCACCAAAGGUUGCCAGACAUCAGCAAGCCUCUGGCAACUUCCGAUGAGGCUCGAGCCUCACCCAAAUCAUUGAAUCUGGCAAGCUCGAGCUCGUUGGUGUUAGGUGAGCUCGGCCUCACUGGCCUGUGGUGAGUCUCUAGCUCACCUUUUGCCAGUGGCCAACUGUUGUUGGGGCUAGUGACCGGCCAAUGAAGAAGAAAAGGAAAAGAAAAAAUUGAAAAAUCUAUUUUUAAGAAAAUAUAUAAUAAUAAUAAAAUUAUUGAAAUGAGUGCAUGAAGGAAAAGAUUUUCCCUACCAAACGGCGAAAAAUAUUGUCAAGUACAUUUUCAGGUUUCAAUCGAAGAACGGAAAAUAUGAUUAUUUUCCUGGAAAAUGGUUUGGCUUCCAGGAAAACAUUUUACAUUUUCCAGAAAAGUCAUAUUUUCCGCAAAAUGGAGUGUAAAUUAUAUGAAGAUCUCCCUUUUUUUACCACUACAAACUAAUUGAAAUAGAGCAGGCCAAAUACAUCAUGCAUUCACAAGAUCACGAGCGUGCCAUAUUGCAUAGACUAGUACUAAUGUUAUAGCACAAAAAACUAUGGUUUAAACUAAGUGAAAAUAUAGUCUAAACUUACCACGGAUUUGACACAAUCUAGAAACGCUUGGAAUAUUAUUGUAUAAGAAGAUCCAGUAAUUUGUUUAGCUUUUAGAAUCCAAGUUCUAAUAGGAUCACGUGAUAGCAUAUGUUUUCAUUAUUUAAUUAGUUAAUUUAACAUAUUUACCUAGGAGUACGGACAAAAAACGAAUUUAGGUAUGUUCCUUUCAAUUAUUAAGGUUCUCCAUGGUAAAAUAAUUCCUGACUUAUAGAAUGGUAUCUUUUGGCAACUGCUGCUCCAAAUAUUUUUCUCUUCCCUUUCCUUUUCCAUAUGGUGAAUUUUUAAGGGUUCUAUACUGCGGUAUGACUUUUUUUUUUUUUUUGGUCAAAGCGGUAUGACUUAUUGAGAUGUGAUUUUUUUACGGAAGAAUGGGUCAACUUCAUUCCUCAUAUGUAAAUUAAAUCCCCAUCGAAUUAUCAACCUUACCAAAACUAGAAAUCAUAUAAGCAAUCAUAAAUUAAACUCCGAACUUGUUUCUUAAUAAUGCGAUACAAGUGGAAUCAAUGUUAGGAGAUCACUUGGCGAAUUGAGAGCUGUCGAACUCAAAAUUUGCAUGAAAUACAGCAAAUCGAAAAAUAAAAUCAGAUAAUUUCCUUUUUUUAUUACAAUUUCAAAGCAUUACUAAACUUUAUUUGAGGAACCAUAAAAGAAAAUGGCACCCAAUCUACUACUGCAAAACCUAUCUGAAAUUAUUUGUCAGGAGGUAAAUAAGGCCAAAAAAAUCAUCUGGCAAUUAAUUAAUCUCUAGCUAAUCGUCAGGUAGAGUGGUCUUGAUUUCGCAUCUUGCAUCAAUGACAGAAACAUCCAUGACUUCUAGCAUCUUCAAUUAAGUUAGGAUGGGCUAGGCCUUGUACUAGACAAUGAUUUCUUGACAAUAUUUGUCAUUGUGUGGGUAUUAUGAAGGGGUUAUAAAAAUCAAAGAAAUGGGGGGAAAUGAAGAACGAAAAAGGAAUUCGUGAAUUUUUCACUUUUGAUUUUCGCAAAUUGUUUCCAUAGUUUUGAGGUUUCAGUAAAUAAUCCUCUUAAUUUGCUUUUUCAUUGGCAAUUUUAUGCAUAAUUUGUAGAAUAUAGGAUGGCGCAAUGGAUAUGUAUUAUUUUAUGUUUUUUCUUAUAGAGUAUUUUUUAAUAAGGAUCUUGGGUACCUGUCGUGAUCUCUUUUUUCGGCAUCCGAUUAGGGCGGGCGCCGACGGAGGCUAAUGGCUUGGUUAGGUCUCUUAGGCCCAACCCGGACUCUCCCAAGCCCACCAAUUCGCGACUUAUGGUUUGAGUCUUUAGUUUAUAGGUUAAUUUUAAAAAAGAGUCGCCACCAAUCAGUUUGAGGUGAGUCAUUUAGAAAUCCAAAAAAAAUAUUGAGAGAAAUAUUCGCUUUUGUGCAAUCAGAUAAAUUAGGAUCGGGGACUUGAUUACAUUAAUUAAUCACUAAUACUCUUUCGGUAUCUGAUCUUGUUUAAACCCUAAAACUUUUUGGAUUUUUAAGGGUUUUCUAUGCAUUUGUGGAGGAAAAACAUUUUUUUGACAUUUUUCUAUUUUUUAAACAUAAAAGGGAUUUUUGGAUUUUUUUUUUGGUCUUUUAUAAAUCAUUUUUUGGCUUUUUCUAACUUUUUUUUGGCUUUUUAAGGAAAAUAUGGGAUGUUUUUUAUUUUUUUGAUUUUCUGGAAAAUAAAUUAUUUUUUAUUAUUUUAUUAAAAUACUAAUUUUUAAUUAUAAAAAAAAGCGACCCGGGUCGGAUUCCCCGGUUGGGACCGACCCGGUUCACUGGCCCUCAGCCCGAAUGGCCGACCGCCGGCCCGGAGGGCCCUAGGCGUGGGCUCGGCCCAUACGCGACAGGGGCCGGUUGGCCCGGACAGACCAAAAACCCUACCCGGUUAUGACCCGCGUUCGACCUAACUCAGUAGCCGCGACCCGAAUCCUGAAAUCCAUACCCGGAUCCGACCCGCUUGAGGACAGACUUAAAAACCCUAGUGGCAGCUUUCGUCUUCUGAGUCCUUGGCCGAUUCUUCGUCGUUCCAGAUUCGUUUGUCGAUCACGUCGAUCUCGCCCUCCACACCCUCACCGCCGCGCAUAAGCAGCAUAUUUAUCUGAAAUCCAAAGCUGAAAACGUCUUCACGAGCCAAAUUACCCUGAGUCCGGUCCAAUAUUUUCCUGAGAAUGGAACAGGCUGAGAGCGCUUGUUUCUUUAACGCGAGAAAGAGCCAGAGCCAGAGCAAAGGAAAGAGAUCGUCGACUUCGCUGCCGAUCGGGGAAGGGCAACGCCGGGUCAGAGGCCGCCGAGCCUCUCCGAGAGCAAAGCCCACUCUGCUUCAGCCUUCAGCCCUUGAUUUUCGUAGCAAGACUCUCUCUUCCGAUGCUUGGCAUUCUAGGGAAGCACAUGUACCAUCAGCUCUUCUAAUGGCUGCUUCUUCGAAUAUGAAAAGGACCAGAUGUCCGCCACGGCUUCCUCAGUCAUCUCUACGCGGCUCUGGACCAGAAUGGAAUAUACACUUUUGUGGAUAGCGAGGAGCUUAGGAAAGGAGAGGAAAUAUCGCCGGCGCUCGUGAGAGCGAUUGAGGAAUCGCGCAUCGCGAUCAUUGUCUUCUCUGAGAACUACGCCUCCUCGCCCUGGUGUUUGGAAGAGCUCUUGAAAAUCAUGGAGUGCAAGGAGCAAAACGGCCUGAUUGUGUUCCCUGUGUUUUACAAAGUGGAACCGAGAGAAGUAAGAUGAGGGAGAGAGAGUUAUGGGAGAGCUAUGGCGAAGCAUGAGUCCAAGCUCGGGAAGAAUUCAGAGAAAGUGAAGAGAUGGAAGAAGGCUCUCCUUGAUGCUGGUAACUUGUCUGGGUGGGACUUCAAUGAUAGGUACGCGCUAAUGUGAUGCAGUGCUUUGCGGUUGUUAUCUCGUGAUUGUUUGUUAGAUAUCAAAUCGUAUGUAUAGCUUCGAAUUGUCAAAACGAUGCAUCAAGUUCUUUGAAUUCGCAGUAGACACACAAAGUUGAAAGGCCAAAUUUCAAGCUAGCAUAAAUUUCUGUCUUAGAUGAGUAGUGUGUUUCCUAGGACCCGAGUAAUUAGUGUCUUCAGGCGCAGAUUCUUUGUAAUUUUGCAUUCUGCAGAUGUUGGCGCAGGUAUGUGUUAUUUCUUUUCAUCUUAUUAUUUGUUAACCUCCUUAUGAAAUUUUCCUUAUGACGUUAGACGUUGAAUUCCUGCCAUGGCUGGAAAUGGUAAAACAUGUUUCUAUUUCUUUUGAGUGCUCAUCAGAGAUGAAAGAGAUGAAGCGGAGCUCAUACAAUUCAUCAUCAAGGAAUUAUCAAUUCGUCUCAGACCAAGAUCCUUUUUUGUCGCUAAGUAUCCAGUCGGUAUAGAAUCCCGAGUUCAAAAACUGAUAAGAUUGUCAGAGUUAGCUGGUAAUGAUGUUUUGAUGAUAGGUCUAUGGGGACCUGGCGGCAUAGGGAAGACGACGAUUGCUAAGGCCCUAUGUAAUGCUAUUGGGUGGCAAUUUCAAGGUAGUAGUUUUUUGGCACAAGUUAGAGAAAAAUCAAACCAAAGCGGUGGUC